GACGAACGCUGGCGGCGUGCCUAAUACAUGCAAGUCGAACGAAAGCGACCGGUGCUUGCACUGGUCAAUCUAGUGGCGAACGGGUGAGUAACACGUGGGUAACCUGCCCAUCAGAGGGGGAUAACAUCCGGAAACGGAUGCUAAAACCGCAUAGGUCUUCGAACCGCAUGGUUUGAAGAGGAAAAGAGGCGCAAGCUUCUGCUGUUGGAUGGACCCGCGGUGCAUUAGCUAGUUGGUGAGGUAACGGCUCACCAAGGCCGUGAUGCAUAGCCGACCUGAGAGGGUGAUCGGCCACAUUGGGACUGAGACACGGCCCAGACUCCUACGGGAGGCAGCAGUAGGGAAUCUUCCGCAAUGGACGCAAGUCUGACGGAGCAACGCCGCGUGAGUGAAGAAGGUUUUCGGAUCGUAAAACUCUGUUGUUAGAGAAGAACAAGUGCUAAAGUAACUGUUAGCGCCUUGACGGUAUCUAACCAGAAAGCCACGGCUAACUACGUG
rnacentral:rRNA from 1 species